ACAUCAUUGGGCACCCUCCCCCUGUAUAGCACUGAACCAAUUUGACUCAAGGCUAGAAAGAAGCCAUGAGACCUGCUUUCCUCCACCCUCUGCAAGCCGCCCUUCUAGCACUAUCCUUUCUGUUCCUCUCUUUGGCCCAAGGGCUGAGUCUCAAGUCAUGUACCACACCUGACCAAGGCUCAACCCUCCAGGUCUACCAUGUCUACAGCCAAUGCUCCCCAUUUAAGCCGAAAACACCUCUCUCGUGGGAAGAGAGUGUUCUCCAAAUGCAGUCAAAGGACGAAGCAAGGCUUCUUUUUCUAUCCAGUCUUGUAGCAGGCAGGUCUGUGGUGCCUGUUGCUUCUGGGAGGCAGAUCACGCAAAGUCCAACUUAUAUUGUAAGGGUUAAAGUUGGGACACCAGCCCAAACCUUGCUUGUGGCUAUGGAUACUAGCAAUGAUGCUGGCUGGGUACCCUGCAAUGGUUGUGUAGGAUGUGGUUCUACAGUGUUUGAGUCAACUAAGUCUACCACUUUCAAAAAUGUUGGUUGCGGGAGCGCUCAGUGCCAACAGGUACCCGGUCCAAGCUGCUUAGGCAGUAUCUGUAGCUUCAAUCUAACAUACGGUGGAUCCACCAUAGCAGCAAACCUCUCACAAGACACCAUAAGACUAGCUGCUGACCCUGUUCCCAACUAUACCUUUGGUUGCAUCCAGAAGGCUACCGGCAGCUCGGUGCCUCCUCAGGGUCUUUUAGGCCUAGGAAGGGGUCCGUUAUCGCUAUUGUCUCAAACCCAAAAUCUAUAUCAAUCCACGUUCUCUUAUUGCUUGCCCAGUUUCAGUCUCUGAACUUCUCCGGAUCGCUUCGAUUGGGACCUAAUAGCCAGCCUAAGAAUAUCAAAUACACGCAAUUGCUGAGAAACCCAAGAAGGUCAUCGCUUUACUAUGUGAACUUGAUCGGAAUUAAGGUCGGACGGCGAGUGGUGGGCAUACCUGCUGAGGCAUUGGCCUUCAAUCCCACUACUGGAGCUGGCACAGUAAUUGAUUCUGGCACUGUCUUCACCAGGCUAGUCCAACCAGCCUACAUUGCCGUUAGAGAUGAGUUCAGGAGGAGAAUGGGCAAUGCAGUAGUGUCGUCGCUAGGCGGCUUCGAUACAUGUUACACUGUUCCGGUGACGGUGCCAACUCUAACCUUCAUGUUUUCGGGCAUGAAUGUGACCCUACCUCAGGAUAAUUUCUUAAUCCACAGCACUGCAGGCAGCAUCACGUGCUUAGCCAUGGCUGAAGCUCCUACUAACGUAAAUUCUGUGCUGAAUGUGAUUGCAAACCUGCAACAACAGAACCAUAGGAUUCUUUUUGACGUGCCCAACUCAAGACUUGGUGUUGCACGUGAGACUUGUACCUGAUUUUCUUGGUGUUUUAGUUUAUCCGGGAACCAUAGCUGUUUCUUUACCUUCGGAUUCUGUGUCUUGUUGUAUUAGUAAUAACCAAGAUAGCACGAGUUAAAUCUCCUGCUGAUGUUGGUAAAAUUUGAUUUCAGUUUUUUAUGUUUGUCUUUAAAAAAAAAAAAAAUUGUUUGUGCUUGUGUCUUUCUUGGCGACAAAAACUUGAACUUUUGAAUCUGAUGAUAAAAAAAAAAAAAAAAUUGAUGGCUCA